GAGAAACCUCACACCCUUCUGUGUUGAAUCAAGGCACCAUCUUCCCUUUGACCGGAUAAUGGGGACGAAUCAACUCAUGCACAUUAAAGAGAUCUUGGUCAGAGACCAUACGCCAAACUCCACCAGAGCCACAUGGCCCAGGUUUUGGUAUGCAGAUACGCAGCCCAGGGUUGUCAAUAGGACCACUGUCCAUCAUCGUCAGUUGACGGACAGACUUGAACCAAAAGAAAUCGCUCAAUUUCCCAGGAUGCGGUCUCCAUGGCUGAAGAGAAACAACACACAACCUGACGGGCAAGAGACAAUCAUACUCAGGAACGGCCCCUUCCCCAUCACCGCUGGCCGUGUCAAGCUUGGAAAUGGAUCCCGGCCGCCUCUGAAGCAUUUAGCACCACAAUUAUCCCCCCAUUCACAGGGCUGCCUGCGCUAAUGUAAACCACACCAGGCACUAGCCGUCAUUCAACCGCAGUAAAAAAAGGCAAUGCAGAAACCCAUCCUCUGUGACAGCAAUUUGACGCAAUUCCGUCCCUGUGUCACCGUUGCUACAAAUAGGGGUCAACUCAUUUAUUAAGC
ensembl:lncRNA